rnacentral:rRNA from 1 species
AUUGAACGCUGGCGGCAGGCAUAACACAUGCAAGUCGAGCGAGCGGCGGACGGGUGAGUAAUGUCUGGGAAACUGCCUGAUGGAGGGGGAUAACUACUGGAAACGGUAGCUAAUACCGCAUACCAUCAGAUGUGCCCAGAUGGGAUUAGCUAGUAGGUGGGGUAACGGCUCACCUAGGCGACGAUCCCUAGCUGGUCUGAGAGGAGGACCAGCCACACUGGAACUGGGACACGGUCCAGACUCCUACGUGAGUCAGCAGUGGGGAAUAUUGCACAAUGGGCGCAAGCCGGAUGCAGCCAUGCCGCGUGUGUGAAGAAGGCCGUCGGGUUGUAAAGUACUUUCAGCGGGGAGGCGUUACCCGCAGAAGAAGCACCGGCUAACUCCGUGCCAGCAGCCGCGGUAAUAC